ensembl:lncRNA
GGAACCGAGAGAGUAGAAGGGUGGGUGUAGAGGAGGGCUGGACUAAGCGAAGGGUUGGACGGGGUGCGCAUGACAUCAUUGCUCCAGCUCCCGAGCGCUGACAGCUGUGGUCUCUCCAAGAGCGCGAGCUUCUGAGGGACAAAGUCCUCCUGCGAUACCUUCACGCGCGCCGAGCCAUCUGCAACCGCCACACCGGAUUUUAAAAGUAUUAUUCACCAACGCACCGAAAAGCAACCGAACCAACCCGUGAACCGCUCCUAUUUUGGAUCCGCCGCAGGGACGCACACACUUAACGGGAUUACUCUUUGUUUUAAUAAAGAAGAUGUGAUGUUUUAUAAGCUGACGGGGAAAAGAGACUCCACCGCUGACAAAAAGGUACGAACGAUUGAACAAAAACAAGACGAAAGGAAGACGCAGCUGGAACCGCUAGAGAUAUGGAGCUAAAGAGAUUUUGAAAACAUCUCCGUCGAGUGCCCCAGCCUGCGUGAAGACCCCACUCCCUGCCCGGUAGGGCCCUCGGCUCCCUGGCCUCAGGUCGAAGGUUAACUCCGGUCCUCUGCCACCCCACUGGAACCAAGAUGGCCGCCGGCAGUGCCUCCUCGGUUUCCCUGCCGGCCCUCCUGCCUGUGGGGACCCUGCUGCUGUCGCUGCUCCUCACCGGCUCCCACGCCUUAGGUAUGCCCAUAGGGUCGCCGUACUAAACUAGGGAAAAGUUAAAAUAGUGUUCAGAAUGAAAUGAACUGGCAGGUUGUAUUAUCAAGGGUUUUUCCCUGUG